CGGGCGGGCUUCGCAUUUUUGAGGCCCCCGCGCCCUUCUUCGGGGUGUGGCUAGGUUUCUUAGGAGCCUGUUCAGGAGCUCUCUGACGGAUCAACUCCAAGUACCAUAUUAUUACUAGCUUCUCAAACUGAAGUAUGCACAGCCCCAGUUCUGUACAGAAGGGAUGCAAAACAGCAGAAUAUUUGUGGUACAACCUUCUAGAGCAUCAGUUUUACUCUCAGAUUUUGAAGAACAGCACUUAAGUAAUUUACAUGAGCUGUAUGCCGUGAUCGGGAAGGAGAGAGCUGUCCAACUCAGAAGCUCUGGAGUGACCAGGUUGUGUUCAUCGGGACCCUAUCACCGCCCCGGAGCCAUUUAACAUCCUCUCAUUAUAAUUAGGAGCAGCAGGGAAAGCAGGGCGGAACCGAACCUAUGGCAGACGCCUGGUCGUAAAUCAGAGGCCUCCCUCCUGCCGACCCUCAGCUUGACCUCCCAGUCCUUUCCGGCACAGGGCUCCAGGCAGCCGCCACAAGUGGACCAGUGUUGGCGUACAAGGUCAGGACUGCCCUCCGAGAGCAGGUAGAGUGGAAGCUGGAUCCCGCAGCUGCAGUGGGAAAAACUAAUGGCCCCCCGAGAAGAAUAUGUGAUCCACUCCCUGAGAGAACGCGAACCCCGGAAGUCCUCCUGCUGAGAGCUCAGAGCAGAGGCUUCAUUUCCCCUCUUCUGGGCUGUCCUCCCUCUGGCUGGCCGGAAAUCAGAUGUGACAUCCCGAGACUGACUCCAACACCAUCCUGCCCUGAGGCGACCAUGAAGCUGGCAGACGCCGACUCUCCCUGUGAGUCGAUCAGGGUCCAAGGCCGAACUCUCCGUCAGGCAACUGAACGCACAAGGGGCUUCCAGGUGAAUCUGGCUGCUGCUUCAUUCCCCAGGGCCACAGGGGCUCAGACACAUCUUCCUCUCAGUGAUACUGCCCUGUGGUUCAGUAGCCCAGGGUGCUUACCUUUGCUGUUGGGGAUUACAGUACCCUCUAAAUUAGGGUGGGAGUGAGGAGGGGGUGUAUUUGCUAAUUACGUAGAGGAAUGGUCAGGGGCCAAGGAUGGGGAGAGACUCUGGUUGGGGAAGCAGAGUGUACAAACCGUGUGGAACACAGAAGCAGAGCUGGGCGACAGCUCGAAGGUGUAAAUCCAUGUCCCGUUCUAGAUAAGGUGGCAUUAAAUGUGAGGGGAAAUUGUUCAGGCACAGGCAAGCUUUGGCUUUUGGGCUCAGUGCUCUUUGGUUUGGGGAAUGAUGAGGCCGUCAUCUGUUGGCCCUGAUCCGGGGUUUGAUGCUCUGGGUAAGAGGGUCCCCCUCCCAGGAAUCCAGGCCUUUCCCAGUUCUAGAGGAUGAGUGGUAAAUGUCAAGCUACAUUUGACGUGCUUUCCAGAAAUCUGCUGCUGAGACCCCCCUGCUGGCAGCUUGCCCUCCCUGGUGCUGAGAGUGACAACAGGAAAGAGUCCCCCGUUCCUGGGCCUGUGCUUCCGGGGUUUUAAUGGAACUGCUUUAAAGGAACUGCUUUGUGAGCUGCGAUGACUUGGCUGCAGAAAAAGCACAUCAGAGCUGGAGGUAGACAGUCUCUAACACUGGCGUGGGGCGGGGUAACUCGGAUGGACGCUGGCUGAGGCAAUAAUGAGUCCUUCGUCACGGAAACUGGCGACCACUCAGGGCUGUAGGGCCUGAGGUCUCAUCAUACAUCACUGGGUUCACGAGAGUCUAAAAUCAACCCAAUAAUUACGAUGUCCAUUGUUUGUUGAGGGUUUCUUUUUCCUUUUAGGAGAAACGAGAGUGGAGGAGAGGGAAAAGAAAGAAAGCUUAACGGAUAACGAGACCGUUAACUGUUACAAAUAGCAUCAUGGCAUUAUUCGGACUCACAGCUUGCCUAAAGUUGCAGUUAAAGUGCCAUUUUCAAUGCCCAAAUUGCUAAUUUGGUUGCUUAAGUUCUUUCUUUUGUAUUUUAAUUAGAAAACUUCAGUUCAGGACUGUAGGACUUACUAUCGCCCCUCACUCCACCCCGUGCCUACUUGUCAUUGUUCCAAGAAAAUAGGAAACCAGGUUGAUGGAACAUGUACUAAGUUCCAUGAGAGCAGGGAGUGUCUGUCAUGCUCACUGCUGUGCCCCAGGGCUCAGCACAGUGUCGGUGCAUAGCUGGUUCUCAACAAACAUCAACUGAAUAAAUAUUACUUUCCAUAGGGCUUUGCUUCAGCUUCUAAAACAAAACAAUACUAAUAGCUUCUAAGUGACAGCCACUUCUGGUAAGCUUUAUACCAGUUUUUCUUGCAGUGUUACAUACUUAUUUUUAAAGCGGCAACUUAUUUAUUUCGAUUAAGAAAAACACAUGAAAAUAAGCAAUAUUUUGUGGGCCCACUUAUUCAGUGUCCCAGUGAUAUCAGACAUCCUUAAUUUUCAAAGUAUCAUAGUAAUUUCGAAGUAUCAUAAGUAAUUCUGAUAAAAGAUCCACUGGCAAUAUGUUUAGACAUUCCAUCAAUGAGAUGUGUCUGUUAAUCCUUGCAGGCUUAACCCAGACAUUUAGAGCAGGUCAAAAGGAACAAGCCAAAUAGGCAGCUCUUCUCAAAAUCAGGGAGACGCUGUGCUUCGGAAACCUAGAUCAUAGAAGACUUUGAAAGGACCCUCCUUGGAAUGAUCCACCUGGCUUUCCAGACUUCAGCUUCUGCCUCUGUGACUCAGAGAGGAGCUCCGCAGUGGCGUGACUGGCCCAUCUCAUGCCCUCAGGCCCUCUGAGAGAGCAGUUCUUCUCGCCCUCCCGGCUCAAGGAGUAGGUGCUGGCCCCAAGGGCAGCUCAUUUACAGGGUGACCCCCAUUUUAGGAGGUGGUCUGGUGAGAGCUCUCUGCCCAGCAGGGAGGACAGCAACUAUCUGAAGCAAUUGGAUACUUUCUUUGUGGGGAUUUGAAUUCGAGACCUGUAGAGACCAUCAGCACUUGCUUUUCUGGGCAGAAGCACAGGUAGGCAGAGAGCAGAGGGUAGAAGUGAUGAGUCAGGACAAACCAUGACCAAGCAGAGGCUGGAGCAGCCCAGUCUCCAAACUGCAGCCCCAGCUCCUGGAGGAGCAAAUGCCCGAUCUCGAGGAGACAGCCGGUUAUUGACUCACAGAGCUGCCGUCCAACACGGGACCCAGGGCUGACCACAAAUGCCCCUCCCUUCAGGCCCCACACAGCCUGGUGAGGCUGUUUCCAUUCUUUCCCUUCCUGUCUCCUUAGCUAACCUGGAAGAGCCCAAUUAACACGUGUAAAUUAAGAUCUCUCUGGUACUAAAAUUCUAGAAUUACACUGAGCACAGUAAAAACUCAUUAAGGCAGGCCACUUGUUCCAAAUUUCUAAUUAUCCCAUUUGGACUAAGCUAAAGUUUAUUCUGCUCAGCAAAAUUUUAUUAUAGAUAACUCAAAAAGAGAAGGUGCAGAGGAAUUAUUCAAAAGAUUUCAAAGAACAAGCUAUUAAUUUGUUAAUUUAAAACUAUUUUAUUAUAAAAGUUUAUUAGUUAUUUAUUAUAAUAAUAGUUAUUUAUUAAACAUUUAUGACCCCAGGAACUUCAAUUGCCUAGAAUGGAUAAAUAUUGUUAACCUUUAUGCUUUUAUUUUUCAACAAAUAUUUACUGAUCCUCUCUGUGGGCCAGGUUCUGUGCUAAGCACUAGAACACAGAAACAUAGACUCAAUCAAAUACAGCAUGGUACUGUGUGUUUAUUUUAAAAAUAAAAUAGAAGUGUGAGGUAAAAAUUACCUUGGACUCUUGGUUUUUGCCCCCCGAUGUGCACAGGUGUGUGUGUGCGCGCACACACAUACUACACAUAUUUAAUGGACCUUGCCCGCAAGCAGCUUAGAGACUGGCGGGGAGACAGACAAAUAUAUGAACAAUGAUGCUGCCACGAUGGGUGCUGAGAUGGAGGUGUGCGCACGGUGUGCUAACAGGAGUGGAAGAGGAACGUCCCAGUCUCUCUAGGAGUGGGUCCAGAGAGGCUUCCUGGGGAUAACUGGGGUUGAGGGUUAAGGAUGAACCUAGGUGCCCAGGUGGAGAGGAGUGGGCACCCCAGGCAACUACAAGUCGCUCAGUGGGACCGGAGCCCACACGGCACGAACAGUGGGGAGCGCAGUCACUUCUCGUUAUCUGCAGGAGUUAUGUUCUGUGGACUUGCUGCAAACACUGAAUUAGUGACACUGAACUAUUGCUCGUAGGGGACACACAGGUUAGGUUCCUGGGAGCCUCCAGUCACAACAUUUUUGUCAACCAAAACCCCAUGUGUGUGAUACAGGUUCGUUUACCAAGAUCCGUGUAAAACAAGCCUGUCCUGUCAGCACGGCGCGCCUGCUGUGCCACCCCACACCUUUCCUGCACAGCACUCACCAGCUGUUUCCAAAAUCCUCCACAGCCUCCGGAUCUGCAGAACCUUCCUCACCAGCAGGUUCAACGUUUUUCACGGCAUUUCACCUUUUGAAAUGUGCGAGUCAGCCAGCACUAGCUGAGAAGGGUUUAACGUUUACCUGGCCAUAAAUCUCUUCGGGUUUUCUCACAACAACAUUGCCCACUAUGCUGUUUUUAAUCAGUCGUCAUCUCCUGAAUCCGGAAAUACAGCCGCUUUUCCAUCUUCUCCAUGGCUUCUCCACACACAACAGACGUUGCUCUAGCACUUUCUGCAGUGGCCUCGCGUUCAGAUUGGCGAAUUUCCUCUUCCUUUUUCUGGAUGUACUGUAUGUUGAUUCAUUAACACUGAGCCACGGCUGACAGUACUGUGACCCGUUCCUGACCAAAGCGCAGCUAACACGCGUAUUUUCUCCAGAAGGCACAUCACAGCUUUCUCGCCUUUAGGAACACUAGCCAGCACUUCAGCACCUAUGCUUUGAGGGCCAUUUAAAGAUCAAAAUCAUCAACAAAAAGCACAAAAAUAUGAAAAACGUGGCACUAAGUAGACGAUGAAAAGGAUACUUGCUACAGUACGAGAGCUGAAGUGGAAAGCAGAGCGUGCCCUUGUUCAGCCCUGGCUGGGAAGCGCAUGUUCGGCGAGUCAGAUUUCUGCCCCUCUCUGCUCCCGUCUGUGGAUACUGGGAAAGCACCGCGAGUGUUGAUUUGGGGUACAAAUAAAUGUUAGCAUGUAGGCAAAUUCACAAAUACGAAAUCCAUGAAUAAAGAAGAUCGACUGUAACGCUAGAGAAGCAGAUAGAGGCCUGUUGCUAAGUGGAAAGGCUGCUCUUGUCGCGAAAGCCGUCGUUGCCACUGAAGAGUUUCAGGUAAGAGAGCGGCGUGAUCUCUUUGUGGGGACAGCACUUUUUCUAAAUGUAUCGCAUGGCUUGCAGAGAGGAAGACCAGAGACCGGCUGGGAGACGGCUGUCCCAGAAGAAGGUGAGGGGUGAAUGAACAGCCAGGGGCACACGUUUGAGGAGGAGCUGACCUGAGAGCCACUGAGUCUGCAGCCCCGGCGUUGCGUUGGGCACGAGCGGCGAGGUGGAGGAAGGAGGACACCCCCCGGUUUCGGGCUUGGGCCUGGAGUGGUGUAGGGCAGUGGGGAGAGCUCUAGCCUCGGAGUCAGAGAUACUGAGUUUAAAUCUGGACUCCACCUCUCACCAGCUGUGUAGCCUUAGAUGUGUUCCUGAACUUCGCUAAGCUUCAGUUUUUUCAUCUCUAGCACAUAGAUUCUAUGUGAUGGGAAAGUAACGCCUCAGAGUUAUUUGGAGAUUUAAAUAAGUGCUGGUGCUUUUCACUUAAAUAAGGAAACUAGGAAAAGGACAGCACCUGGGCUGAUGGAGGAGAGGAGUCCCGUUGGACACGGGAAGUUGGAUGUGCCCGUGGACGUCCAUGUACCAACAUCCAGUAGCCAUUCGAUAUGCUCCCCAGAGGCCAGGAGCAGAGAAGCUGGGGUAGAGACAGGCCGAUGUGGUGUCAUUAGCAGGCAGGCAGCUGCUACAGCUAGGAGGGGCGGGCAGUUCCAGCAUCAGAGGUCCAAGGAUAAACCCUGGAGGAUUCCAACAUUUAAGAAGAGCCUGGGAGGAAGACCAAGAGAAGGAGGCAGGAUGAGGAGGAGGAGCACCAGGAGAGCGUGGAUGAUGGCAGGCGGGGCAGGAGAGAGUCCAGGAGGGAGCGGGCGGAGUCAGUGCUCCGAAAGCAUCAAGUGAGAGUCACAGAACUCUCGGGCUGGAGGGACCCAGGAGAUCUUUGAGUCUAACGCCCUUAUCUGUCCUGAGAAGAAAUCGACAUUCAAAGAGGAGAAGUGAGCUGUUUGAGGUCACACUGAUUUCACAGCAAGAUACCUAAUUCCUAAGGAGAAAUAAAAUACAUUCUUUAACAAAUAUUAUAGAUUCAAAAUUGUUCCUCUUAAGUCACACUGGACUUUUCCCAAUCUGAUGAAAUUAGUGAGAUUGUAUUGAUGUAUCAGAGCAACUGUUAACCUUCCAUGUGCUAAGAUGCUGUGUAGUCAAUCUGUGCAAUAAAUCUUAAAUCUAUGUAUAGUGUACAUUUAAGAAAUCAUGCUCUAAAACGUUUACAAACAACAAGAGUCAUAACUCAUGUUAAAAAUUAGACAACAGGUCCAAAAUGGAGUCACUUAUGCUAAGCCCCACUUAAUUGUGGUUUUGGCUCUCCCAGGAAUGGACUCUUAAACCAGUCAAUCAGGAAUCACCUGGUCAGCACUAGGUAGGUAAUCUGCCUGAGAGAUUCCAGCCAUCCCCUAAAGGAAGGUGACCUUGCAAUAACCAGCCUGCAUUUUGCCAGUGUAACUUCCCUGUCCCUGCUCCCUUCUGCCUAUAAAAGUCUUUCAUUCUGUACAGCUCCUUUGUAUCUGCUAGACUGAAUGCUGCCAGAUUCCUGAAUUGCUGAACACAGCCAGUAAGAUCUCUAAAAUUCACUCAGUUGAAUUUUGUGGGGUAAAAGCUUGUUUGUUUUGGUGAGGAAGAUUGGCCCUGAGCUAACAUAUGUUGCCAAUCUUCCUCUUUUU